AAUCAGUCUGAAAAUAUUCACUGCAGCAUUUGAUACAUAGUUUUCUACUCACAAAUGUUUGACCAUAUUCUGGAAUAAUCACAUUGAGCAGUUGAGGUUAUGAUCUGUGCCAUCAAGUUGACAACAAUAACAUGGGAUUCUGAGGACAUGACACGUAGAGGACAAGAAAGUUCCCCAAUAUAUGGCAAUGAAAAUCUUCAACAGGCUAAAAGAAAAGAACAUUCCCAAUGUGAUACGAGGUCCACUGAAAAAGAAGCUACAGGAUACUCUGAUACAGAAAUAUUACUACAGGAUGGAAGAGUUCUUGAAAGACUAAAUGAAAAUUUAUGUUGGGUGUCAUUGAUCAUUAGUCUUAUUACAUAAGACUAACCAUUCAUUUUAAGAGCAAAAAUUAUUAACUUUAGGGUACUGCUUUGUCUAAUCAGCUGUAAUUUUAUAUAAGUGAAUUGUAUUAGUAAUUUUUGACAUAUCUCCUGUACUCUAAUCAGAUGAUUGAUAAGUGUGUGUCAUGUUGUGAGACAAAUAAAUUGCAAUUCAUUAUUUA